CCAAAAAGGCCAUUUAGUUUUUUUCUGUAGAAUAAAAGACACAUUUUUCAUUUUCACCAAUAGCUUUAUUGAUUUGGAUAUUCUGGGUAUGUCGGCUAUCUCUCACUAACUUGGCUUCUAGAG